CAGUCGCCACGGGAAUACAGAGGGUGCAAGCGUUAAUCGGAAUUACUGGGCGUAAAGCGCGCGUAGGUGGUUUGUUAAGUUGGAUGUGAAAUCCCCGGGCUCAACCUGGGAACUGCAUCCAAAACUGGCAAGCUAGAGUAUGGUAGAGGGUGGUGGAAUUUCCUGUGUAGCGGUGAAAUGCGUAGAUAUAGGAAGGAACACCAGUGGCGAAGGCGACCACCUGGACUGAUACUGACACUGAGGUGCGAAAGCGUGGGGAGCAAACAGGAUUAGAUACACCAGUAGUCCCUGUCUCUUAUAC
rnacentral:rRNA from 1 species